rnacentral:rRNA from 1 species
UGAGGAAUAUUGGUCAAUGGGCGAGAGCCUGAACCAGCCAAGUAGCGUGCAGGAUGACGGCCCUAUGGGUUGUAAACUGCUUUUGUAUGGGGAUAAAGUCAAUCACGUGUGAUUGUUUGCAGGUACCAUACGAAUAAGGACCGGCUAAUUCCGUGCCAGCAGCCGCGGUAAUACGGAAGGUCCGGGCGUUAUCCGGAUUUAUUGGGUUUAAAGGGAGCGUAGGCUGGAGAUUAAGUGUGUUGUGAAAUGUAGACGCUCAACGUCUGACUUGCAGCGCAUACUGGUCUCCUUGAGUACGCACAACGUUGGCGGAAUUCGUCGUGUAGCGGUGAAAUGCUUAGAUAUGACGAAGAACUCCGAUUGCGAAGGCAGCUGACGGGAGCGCAACUGACGCUGAAGCUCGAAGGUGCGGGUAUCGAACAGGAUUAGAUACCCUGGUAGUCCGCACAGUAAACGAUGGAUGCCCGCUGUUGGUACUUGGUAUCAGCGGCUAAGCGAAAGCAUUAAGCAUCCCACCUGGGGAGUACGCCGGCAACGGUG